AAAUGAAUGGAUAUCAGUUGAAAGCUUUUGACAUGUCCAGGACUGGUGCAGCAUACUCCUUAUUGCUUGCAGCUGCAACUCACCACCUGUUCUCCUUUGAAACUUCACUUAUUGUCUCUGUUGCAAAUUUCUGGACAAGCGCAGGGGAAUCCUUAUUAACUUAUGCUAGAAGCUCAGCAUGGGAUUUGUUUGUGAAACAGGAAUUGACGGGCUCAAAACUUCUUUCCCUUCGUAAUCAUAAAUGCUCAAAGUGCUCAUUGCUGGAUAGAUUUGAAGCCAAUUUUUCU
rnacentral:misc_RNA from 1 species